AGCAUGUGCGCGAGUCAUUGGGACAAACCUAAGGGCGUAAUGAAAGUAAAGGUUUACCUUGGACCGAGGGAGGAUGAGUGGUUUGCCCCAUUCCGCACUCCCGGGGCGUCUCGUUCUCAUUGCGAGAAGAGGCGCACCAAGAGCGUACACGCUGGGACCCGAAAGAUGGUGAACUAUGCCUGGUCAGGACGAAGUCAGGGGAAACCCUGAUGGAGGUCCGUAGCGAUUCUGACGUGCAAAUCGAUCGUCGGAACUGGGUAUAGGGGCGAAAGACUAAUCGAACCAUCUAGUAGCUGGUUCCCUCCGAAGUUUCCCUCAGGAUAGCUGGCGCUCGUUGCGUACGAGUUUCAUCCGGUAAAGCGAAUGAUUAGAGGCAUUGGGGUCGAAACGACCUCAACCUAUUCUCAAACUUUAAAUGGGUGAGAUCUCCGGCUUGCUCGAAAUGUGAAGCCGUGAGACUCGAAUCAGAGUGCCAAGUGGGCCAUUUUUG
rnacentral:rRNA from 3 species